rnacentral:misc_RNA from 1 species
GAUGAAGAACGCAGUGAAAUGCGAUAAGUAAUGUGAAUUGCAGAAUUCAGUGAAUCAUCGAAUCUUUGAACGCAUCUUGCGCUCCUUGGUAUUCUGAGGAGCAUGCCUGUUUGAGUGUCAUUAAAUUCUCAACUACACUGACUUUGAAUUGGUGUGGCUUGGAUUUGGGGGAAAAUUGUUGUGGGCUUUUUGUAUAGUCUGCUCCCCUGAAAUUGAUUAGCGGUACCUUUGUGGAACUGUCUACAGGUGUGAUAAUUAUCUACAUCUUAGACAUCUGCUGGAAUGCUGCUUUCUAAACCUUACUUGUAUUGACAAUCUUGACCUCAAAUCAGGUAGGACUACCCGCUGAACUUAAGCAUAUCAAUAAGCGGAGGA